rnacentral:rRNA from 1 species
AUAAACGCUGGCGGCGUGCAUGAGACAUGCAAGUCGAACGGGCGAUCGGGGCUUGCUCCGAUCGCUAGUGGCGGACGGCUGAGUAACGCGUGGGUGACCUGCCCCGAAGUGGGGGAUAACGGCCCGAAAGGGUUGCUAAUACCGCAUGUGGCGACGUGUUCGGUCACGUCAUCAAAGCCGUAAGGCGCUUCGGGAGGGGCCUGCGUCCGAUUAGCUCGUUGGUGGGGUAACGGCUCACCAAGGCGACGAUCGGUAGGUGGUCUGAGAGGACGAUCACCCAGACUGGGACUGAGACACGGCCCAGACUCCUACGGGAGGCAGCAGUCGGGAAUUUUGCUCAAUGGGCGAAAGCCUGAAGCAGCAACGCCGCGUGAGGGAUGAAGGCCUUCGGGUUGUAAACCUCUUUUCUCAGGGACGAUGAUGACGGUACCUGAGGAAUAAGCCACGGCUAACUACGU